AUUCUUAUACAUUAUAAUACUUUAUUUGAUGUAGGAAAUUCAACAAUUGGAAAUAUUAUGCAAGCAGCUCUAUGAAGCAACAGACGCAAACAUACGUGCUGAUGCAGAAAAGAGACUGGUGAUAUUUGUUAAUAGCCACGAUGCUUUACCAAAAUGCCAGUUACUGUUAGAUCGAGCUGAUUCCAGUUAUGCACAACUUCUUGCAGCUUCUACCCUAACAAAACUUAUUCAAGGAAUAACUCUCGGACAACGCAUUGAUAUUCGCAGUUAUGCUCUUAACUAUUUGGCAACCAGACCUAAUUUGCAACACUUUGUAGUGCAAGCACUUGUAACACUUUUAGCAAAAAUUACAAAAUAUGGAUGGUUUGAUUCAUGCAAGGGAGAAUUUAUCUUUCAAAACAUACUUGAGGACGUAAAAAAGUUUUUACAGGGCUCAGUUGAGCAUUGUACUAUUGGCGUCCAAAUUCUGUCGCAGUUGGUGACAGAAAUGAAUUCAAUUGUGGAGCUAGAUGCAAACUUGUCAUUUUCAAAAAACCGUAAGAUAGCUACAUCUUACCGAGAUCACCAACUGUACGAUACGUUUCUACUUUCCUGUUCCCUCUUGAUAAAUGCUCGAGAUAAUAG